rnacentral:rRNA from 1 species
GACGAACGCUGGCGGCCUGCUUAACACAUGCAAGUCGAACGGAAAGGCCCUGCUUUUGUGGGGUGCUCGAGUGGCGAACGGGUGAGUAACACGUGAGUAACCUGCCCUUGACUUUGGGAUAACUUCAGGAAACUGGGGCUAAUACCGGAUAGGAGCUCCUGCUGCAUGGUGGGGGUUGGAAAGUUUCGGCGGUUGGGGAUGGACUCGCGGCUUAUCAGCUUGUUGGUGGGGUAGUGGCUUACCAAGGCUUUGACGGGUAGCCGGCCUGAGAGGGUGACCGGCCACAUUGGGACUGAGAUACGGCCCAGACUCCUACGGGAGGCAGCAGUGGGGAAUAUUGCACAAUGGGCGGAAGCCUGAUGCAGCAACGCCGCGUGCGGGAUGACGGCCUUCGGGUUGUAAACCGCUUUCGCCUGUGACGAAGCGUGAGUGACGGUAAUGGGUAAAGAAGCACCGGCUAACUACGUG